rnacentral:rRNA from 1 species
GUAACGGGGUGUUAGGGCACGACACCGGAGAGGGAGCCUGAGAAACGGCUACCACAUCCAAGGAUGGCAGCAGGCGCGCAAAUUACCCAAUCCCGACACGGGGAGGUAGUGACAAUAAAUAACAAUACGGGGUCCUUUCGGGCUUCGUAAUUGGAAUGAGUACAAUUUAAAUCUCUUAACGAGGAACAAUUGGAGGGCAAGUCUGGUGCCAGCAGCCGCGGUAAUUCCAGCUCCAAUAGCGUAUAUUAAAGUUGUUGCAGUUAAAAAGCUCGUAGUUGAAUUUCGGGAUCAGUGCGCUAGUCGUGCCUUCGGUACGUACUGGUGCUGCUGAUUCCUACCUUCUGACGAACCGUUAUGUCAUUAAUUUGGUGUGGCAGGAAAUCAGGACUGUUACUUUGAAAAAAUUAGAGUGUUUAAAGCAGGCUCGCGCUUGAAUACAUUAGCAUGGAAUAAUGAAAUAGGACGUUAAUCCUAUUUUGUUGGUUUCUAGGAUUGAUGUAAUGAUUAAUAGGGAUAGUUGGGGGCAUUAGUAUUCAAUUGUCAGAGGUGAAAUUCUUGGAUUUAUUGAAGACUAACUACUGCGAAAGCAUUUGCCAAGGAUGUUUUCAUUAAUCAAGAACGAAAGUUAGGGGAUCGAAGACGAUCAGAUACC